CAGUCGCCACGGUAAUACGUAGGGUGCAAGCGUUAAUCGGAAUUACUGGGCGUAAAGCGUGCGCAGGCGGUUUGUUAAGACAGAUGUGAAAUCCCCGGGCUCAACCUGGGAACUGCAUUUGUGACUGGCAAGCUAGAGUCUGGCAGAGGGGGGUGGAAUUCCGCGUGUAGCGGUGAAAUGCGUAGAGAUCGGGAGGAACAUCAGUGGCGAAGGCGGCCAUCUGGGACAACACUGACGCUGAGGCACGAAAGCGUGGGGAGCAAACAGGAUUAGAGACCCCCGUAGUCCCUGUCUCUUAUAC
rnacentral:rRNA from 1 species